UUAUUCCCGAUAGACCGCCCUAGUUUACACCAGAGAUAAAAAAAAUACUUCUUUUUCCGUUUUUUAACAGUUUUGGUGCAGGGUUUCUGGAUCUUAUGAUUCUUAAAGCAAUUGAGGAUUGUUUUUUCGAUUUUUUACUCAAAGGGUCUCUCUCUCUCUCUCUCUCUUUUUUUUUUUUUUUUUUUUUUUUUUUUUUUUUUUAACGGAUUUUGUCAGUUUUGAAAAUUUAGUACACCUAAUGAUUUUUUUUGUGAUCUAGUGAGUAGUCUUGAUUGUUUCUUUAUACCUAAUGGUUUUUUUUUGGUUCUUUUCACUGCGUCGGUGGGAUUGCUCUGUUUUUACUUGGCCAGCAUGGUGUGGAGGUAGUACCAUACACGUCUCAGACAGCUCCCCUAACCUGGAUGAUGCACUACCAGGCCAGGAAAGUAUCUUGUAACUAUUCUUAAUCUUGUGUUUUAGUUUUUUUUUUGUUUUUUUCUUGUUAUUUUUUAGUCCUUUUCACUGUAAUAAUGGGGUUGCUUUGUUUUACAAUUGAGAUAAAAAGAGUUUCUUUUCCUGAUUUUUAACAAUUUUAGUGCCUCUCUUGUGCAUCUUAUGAUUCUUGAAGCUAUUAAGGAUUGUUUACCGAAGUUUUUCCUCAUAGGGUGUCUGUUUCUUUUUGCGUUUUUGUCUGUUUUGGAUCCAAUCUUCAUGAGCUUUAGAUAAUUUUUUGGAGACAAUGAAAAUUAAAAAAAAAGAAGUAAAAGAAAUAAGACGAAAUGAUGUUAUUGUGAAUGUAAUACUCCCUCUGUUUUAAUUUGUUUGAACCUAUUUUCUUUUUAGUUCGUGUUAAAAUGAGUGAUCUCUUUUCUAAUUUGGAAACAAAUUCACUUUAUGAAUGAUUUAUAGCCACACAAAUUUUUAAGGCUUAUUUUGAACUACAAGUUUUAAAAGUUUUAUCUCUUUUUUAAAUAUCAUGUCUAAUUAAAUGAGUUCAUAUAAAUUAAAACGGAAAAAGUAUCUUUUAUGAGGGUUUGGAAAGCUGACCAGCCUAGUAAUAUCUCAUGUAUUUUCAACUUUAUAGAUCGUAGAUGCAAAAUAUAAGAUUUCAAAGCAAUUGAUUGAAGUCAUCGAUCGUGAGAAGAAAUUAAUCACUUGAAAAGUGACUAGUGGAGAUUUGUUGGAGUUGUACAAUUAUUCACCAUUAUCACAUCAUGUGAUCACCAAUGGGCUACGUGGACCUUUGUGUACGACAAGAAAACUGAUGGCAUACCAAAGCCGAUCAUGCUCCUGGGUUUUGCACUUCAUGUGACCAAAGACAUCAAAGGGUCAUCUUCUCAAUAUCCGGUACUCGCAAUGGAGCUCGCCUAAUCCAGAUUUGCGUCGCAUAGAGCCCAAUCGAGGGAAGCGCUCCCUAUCAAGGAUUUUUUCAUACUCAGGCUCGAACCCGAGACCCCUAAUUAGGGAGGAACAGUCUCAUCCGCUGCACUUUAUUUUCCCAGUUGCUUUUUUCUAUUGAUCUUAUCUAUUAACCUAAAAAAUAGUCAUUUCUUCGCUAGAUAUUUUUGCUUCUUGUUGCUCUUUGUUUUCUUCUUUUUCAUUUUUUGCUUAUUAUAGAUUUUUACAUGUAAGCAUUUCUUUUACUUUAUAUUUGUAUUACGAAAUUUGAGAAUUUCUGAAAAUUCUU